rnacentral:rRNA from 1 species
CCCCGAGGAAAAGAAAUCAACCGAGAUUCCCCCAGUAGCGGCGAGCGAACGGGGAGGAGCCCAGAGCCUGAAUCAGUAUGUGUGUUAGUGGAAGCGUCUGGAAAGGCGCGCGAUACAGGGUGACAGCCCCGUACACAAAAAUGCACAUGCUGUGAGCUCGAUGAGUAGGGCGGGACACGUGGUAUCCUGUCUGAAUAUGGGGGGACCAUCCUCCAAGGCUAAAUACUCCUGACUGACCGAUAGUGAACCAGUACCGUGAGGGAAAGGCGAAAAGAACCCCGGCGAGGGGAGUGAAAAAGAACCUGAAACCGUGUACGUACAAGCAGUGGGAGCACGCUUAGGCGUGUGACUGCGUACCUUUUGUAUAAUGGGUCAGCGACUUAUAUUCUGUAGCAAGGUUAACCGAAUAGGGGAGCCGAAGGGAAACCGAGUCUUAACUGGGCGUUAAGUUGCAGGGUAUAGACCCGAAACCCGGUGAUCUAGCCAUGGGCAGGUUGAAGGUUGGGUAACACUAACUGGAGGACCGAACCGACUAAUGUUGAAAAAUUAGCGGAUGACUUGUGGCUGGGGGUGAAAGGCCAAUCAAACCGGGAGAUAGCUGGUUCUCCCCGAAAGCUAUUUAGGUAGCGCCUCGUGAAUUCAUCUCCGGGGGUAGAGCACUGUUUCGGCAAGGGGGUCAUCCCGACUUACCAACCCGAUGCAAACUGCGAAUACCGGAGAAUGUUAUCACGGGAGACACACGGCGGGUGCUAACGUCCGUCGUGAAGAGGGAAACAACCCAGACCGCCAGCUAAGGUCCCAAAGUCAUGGUUAAGUGGGAAACGAUGUGGGAAGGCCCAGACAGCCAGGAUGUUGGCUUAGAAGCAGCCAUCAUUUAAAGAAAGCGUAAUAGCUCACUGGUCGAGUCGGCCUGCGCGGAAGAUGUAACGGGGCUAAACCAUGCACCGAAGCUGCGGCAGCGACGCUGAUGCGUUGUUGGGUAGGGGAGCGUUCUGUAAGCCUGCGAAGGUGUGCUGUGAGGCAUGC